CCUACGGGAGGCUGCAGUGGGGAAUAUUGGACAAUGGGGGGAACCCUGAUCCAGCCAUGCCGCGUGUGUGAAGAAGGCCCUCGGGGUGUAAAGCACUUUCAGUGAGGAAGAACGCCUGGUGGUUAAUACCCAUCAGGAAAGACAUCACUCACAGAAGAAGCACCGGCUAACUCCGUGCCAGCAGCCGCGGUAAUACGGAGGGUGCGAGCGUUAAUCGGAAUUACUGGGCGUAAAGCGCGCGUAGGUGGCUUGAUAAGCCGGUUGUGAAAGCCCCGGGCUCAACCUGUGAACGGCAUCCGGAACUGUCAAGCUAGAGUGCAGGCGAGGAAGGUAGAAUUCCCGGUGUAGCGGUGAAAUGCGUAGAGAUCGGGAGGAACACCAGUGGCGAAGGCGGCCUUCUGGACUGACACUGACACUGAGGUGCGAAAGCGUGGGUAGCAAACAGGAUUAGAUACCCGGGUAGUC
rnacentral:rRNA from 1 species